rnacentral:misc_RNA from 1 species
GAUGAAGAACGCAGUGAAAUGCGAUAAGUAAUGUGAAUUGCAGAAUUCAGUGAAUCAUCGAAUCUUUGAACGCACAUUGCGCCCGUCAGUAUUCUGGCGGGCAUGCCUGUUCGAGCGUCAUUACGCCCCUCAAGUCCCCUGUGGACUUGGUGUUGGGGAUCGGCGAGGCUGGUUUUCCAGCACAGCCGUCCCUUAAAUUAAUUGGCGGUCUCGCCGUGGCCCUCCUCUGCGCAGUAGUAAAACACUCGCAACAGGAGCCCGGCGCGGUCCACUGCCGUAAAACCCCCCAACUUUUUAUAGUUGACCUCGAAUCAGGUAGGACUACCCGCUGAACUUAAGCAUACAAUAGCGGAGGA